rnacentral:rRNA from 1 species
CUACGUGCCAGCAGCCGCGGUAAUACGUAGGGCGCGAGCGUUGUCCGGAAUUAUUGGGCGUAAAGGGCUUGUAGGCGGUUGGUCGCGUCUGCCGUGAAAUUCUCUGGCUUAACUGGGGGCGCGCGGUGGGUACGGGCUGACUUGAGUGCGGUAGGGGAGACUGGAACUCCUGGUGUAGCGGUGGAAUGCGCAGAUAUCAGGAAGGACACCGGUGGCGAAGGCGGGUCUCUGGGCCGUUACUGACGCUGAGGAGCGAAAGCGUGGGGAGCGAACAGGAUUAGAUACCCUGGUAGUCCACGCUGUAAACGUUGGGCACUAGGUGUGGGGGCCACCCGUGGUUUCUGCGCCGUAGCUAACGCUUUAAGUGCCCCGCCUGGGGAGUACGGCCGCAAGGCUAAAACUCAAAGGAAUUGACGGGGGCCCGCACAAGCGGCGGAGCAUGCGGAUUAAUUCGAUGCAACGCGAAGAACCUUACCAAGGCUUGACAUGC